UCUUCACUUGUUUUUUAGAUAUAUUUAUCAAAGUGUAAGUCAUAUUUUAUCAUCUCUAAUAUGCUAGUUGGGAUUUAUUGCCAAUUGGCUGGCCAAAUUAAAAUAUAAAUAAACGAUAAAGGUUCCUAAUAAUAAGAAAAUGAAAGAAAAAUAUUUUGGUUUUGUUUUUUCUUAGCGAAACUGUAAACAAAGGAUGAAAGAAUUGUCAACGAAAACUCUAACAGCCGGUGCGAACAGCUUACAGCACACAAUCCCAAAACUCGUUUUCAAAGUAUUUUCGUUGUCGGUCCGAACAUGGUAUAACAUUAUCUUGUGCAAAUUCGCCUUGCUAGUGAUAAAUAUCUGUAAAGAAACAAAGCUCCUGUGUGGUGUAUUCAAUAUUCAUUUUUUGGUGAAUUCUUUGGACAAUUGUCAAUUGCCCACAGAAAUUAUCAGGAAUUGCGGAAAGAGAUAUCCAGCUUAUAGGCAGAGUCAGCAGCAUACGUGGCGAUUUUCGGGAAAAAGUUUUCGUAGCGUUUUUGAUGUUUUUUGGUUUUGUUGACAUCGUCUUCAACCUCUUCAUAGUGAUUUUUUAGCGACUUGAUGUGUUUUCUGCAGCGAUUUAAACUAUAAAUUUUGAUUUAUUACGAAUAUAUGAUAUAAAUGAAGUGCUUUGUGAUUUGAACAAGUUUGUGCGUUGGUUUGGGUUGCAAAGAGGCGUAAAUUUGCGUGGAAAGUGGGUGCACUUUUGUGGUCAGAAAAAAUCGAACUGUGCUGAUGCUACGUGGUUGCAAAACACUUUCAUUUUUAUUCAGUUUCAGUUAUUAUAUUUGAUGAUAAAUGCCAAUAUAAUCGCACUCAACCUCCACGCAUUUUUCGUCUUCUUUGUUUGUUUUCAUUCUUUGGUUUUGUACUUAAAAUGACGACAUGUAUACUAAACCCUACCCUGUUUAUUUAUGUAUUUAUCAUUAAGAAUUUUCCAUUAAAAUAGAUACAGUUCAGUGUCUAACAAAAUACAUAUGUAUGUAUAAAAACGGAGAUAAUAAAAUGAAUGUUUUUAACUUAA